GACGAACGCUGGCGGCGUGCCUAAUACAUGCAAGUUGAGCGCUGAAGGUUGGUACUUGUACCAACUGGAUGAGCAGCGAACGGGUGAGUAACGCGGGGGGAAUCUGCCUUUGAGCGGGGGACAACAUUUGGAAACGAAUGCUAAUACCGCAUAAAAACUUUAAACACAAGUUUUAAGUUUGAAAGAUGCAAUUGCAUCACUCAAAGAUGAUCCCGCGUUGUAUUAGCUAGUUGGUGAGGUAAAGGCUCACCAAGGCGAUGAUACAUAGCCGACCUGAGAGGGUGAUCGGCCACAUUGGGACUGAGACACGGCCCAAACUCCUACGGGAGGCAGCAGUAGGGAAUCUUCGGCAAUGGACGAAAGUCUGACCGAGCAACGCCGCGUGAGUGAAGAAGGUUUUCGGAUCGUAAAACUCUGUUGGUAGAGAAGAACGUUGGUGAGAGUGGAAAGCUCAUCAAGUGACGGUAACUACCCAGAAAGGGGCGGCUAACUACGUG
rnacentral:rRNA from 1 species